rnacentral:rRNA from 1 species
UACGGAGGGUGCAAACGUUGCUCGGAAUCAUUGGGCGUAAAGCGCACGUAGGCGGCACGUUAAGUCGGAUGUGAAAUCCCUCGGCUCAACCGAGGAAGUGCAUUCGAAACUGGCGAGCUCGAGUAUGGAAGAGGGUCGCGGAAUUCCCGGUGUAGAGGUGAAAUUCGUAGAUAUCGGGAGGAACACCAGUGGCGAAGGCGGCGACCUGGGCCAAUACUGACGCUGAGGUGCGAAAGCGUGGGGAGCAAACAGG